ensembl:lncRNA
GCUCCCCAUUACAACAAACAGCAUCAGUAGUGUACACUUCAAUCUACACAAAUACAUAGUAAAGCAAAUAGAACAGAGUGACUUGCGUUCAUGACAAUCCAAUACUUCAAUGCAUGGACAGCACAGGGGUAUUGAUACAGUACAUGGAAAAUCCUAUGCAAUAACAGCUGUCUGAGGCUCAGGGAUUGUCAAAGUAACAUCUACGGCUACUCUAGUUAUCAUUACAAGCUCUCUAUAGCAUUAGCAGCAGUGUUUAUAGGCAGCAAGUAAAUGAUGUGAAAAGAACUGGGAGGAAAAUGAAAAUACUGCCAACUACAAACAGCAUAAAACAGCUUUACUGGUACUACGCUAUUCAUGUUUUAUCGGUUAAAAUAAAGCAUCUGUCUGGUCAGUUCACGCUGCUGCGUUGCAACGACUCGGAUAAAGACUUCUACAAAACAGCUGUGAAAAAACAGCUUUCUGACAAGUAAAACAUCUCAAAAUUGAGCAUGUAUAUUUACAUCUAAUUGUUUGCAAAAACAAUGUCAUUUCUAGUCUACUGUGUUUGUUAACAAGCACAAAUCUGCUUCCAAUGUGAAAAUAUGACCGGAGAAAGAGGUGAUCAGUUUUCAAUGGUUUAUCCAAUGCAGCUUAUCGGCCGGCUGCUGCACACGCUGCGACAACAAAGCAGAACCCUUUAACUUUCAAUAAAUAUUUAUGCACUCAAUGCUAUAUACAUGUUCUAUACAUUGGCACACAGGACUGAGUGUGGAUAGUUGCAAGCUAUUUCUUUGCUGAAAACACAAAUCUGUGCCUUUUGCUAUUGCAGUCAGAUGCAUGGUGGUUGCAAGGAAAUCCACUUAUAAAUAAAUAGCUUUCUCUCUCCAAAACCUUUUUCCACCUUAAUAAAAAAGCCAUUUAGAGAAUACUCUGGAAAGAAAGAUGUUCCACAUACAGUAAGUCUUUUUUUAAAUUCCAGCUUAUUGUACUUACAACAAAGCUUUGUUCCUGCAAACGUAACACGUACCAGAGAACCUCGUUCAGGCUAAUCAUGAAAGGAUCGAACGAGCUCCAAGGGCCAUUAAGCAAUUUUCAUAUUAAAACUGAAUGACAUGGCUCUGUAUUGGCAGACUGUGAAAGGGUAGAUCAAUUUUCCAAGCUCAGUACUGACAGAUUACAUUGUUUUAGCUCUUCAUAAAAAAGCUAAAAGCACAGCUGGAACAAACAGCUGGGUGGUGAAGACAGUGAGAGAUGGCGGGGACUCCUGAGCUAAAAUAAGUCGGACUUCAUUGCACGGGGAGAAUAUUUAAUGUGUCUAAAAGUUAAAGAUAAUUUGUUUUUGAGUUUGUCUGGUCCCUAGUGGUCAAAAGUCAACUAAUGCAGCUUUAGUUAUUAGGCUCACCUGUGAACGCGAAUGCAAUCUAACACAGCAGUUCUGCUAACAACUCAUCAUUUAGAUUCUUUGCUGACAUUCCUCAAAGGUUCUUAUGAUUUUACCUGAUUAUGGAGGUUUCAGGCAGUGAGGACGUGUAGGCUACAUAGGCUGCCUCCCUUCCUUCCCACAUCACUGCCCUCUAUGACCUCAAUAACAAACACAAACAGAAAGCUUCACAGGACAAGGAUUUAUAGCGGUGUGCUGAUAUCGGAUUGCAUUUCUUUCUUUUCACAGGUUAACGAAAAGUCACGGUAAAAGUGAGGCUAAAGUAAAAACACAUUUUACAUGUAUUAUGAAUAAUUUUGGUCCUUUGACCUGAGUGUUGUACCGUCUAUUUUAUAUGCGCAUGCUCUUUAGUUAGUUCUCUUCUUUGCCCUUAAGUAUUUCUGAGAAGAAGAGAAAAACAUGGAACAAAGCUAAAUAUGAAAGGCAGCCAGCUUGGUGCAGCAAAGCGACUGUUAGCAAUAAGUGAGCUCUGUCUAACAA